GCUUAGAGUUUGAUCCUGGCUCAGGAUGAACGCUGGCGGUAUGCUUAACACAUGCAAGUCGAACGGAGUACUUCGGUACUUAGUGGCGGACGGGUGAGUAACGCGUGAGAAUCUGCCUUCAGGAUGGGGAUAACAGUGGGAAACCAUUGCUAAUACCCAAUGAGCCGAGAGGUAAAAAAUUUAUUGCCUGAAGAGGAGCUCGCGUCCGAUUAGUUAGUUGGUGGGGUAAAGGCUUACCAAGACGGCGAUCGGUAGCUGGUCUGAGAGGAUGAGCAGCCACACUGGGACUGAGACACGGCCCAGACUCCUACGGGAGGCAGCAGUGGGGAAUUUUCCGCAAUGGGCGCAAGCCUGACGGAGCAAUACCGCGUGAGGGAGGAAGGCCUUUGGGUUGUAAACCUCUUUUCUUAAGGAAGAAGAUCUGACGGUACUUAAGGAAUCAGCAUCGGCUAACUCCGUGCCAGCAGCCGCGGUAAUACGGAGGAUGCAAGCGUUAUCCGGAAUUAUUGGGCGUAAAGCGUCCGCAGGCGGCACUAUAAGUCUGCUGUCAAAGACCGCAGCUCAACUGCGGAAAGGCAGUGGAAACUGUAGAGCUAGAGUACGGUAGGGGUAGAGGGAAUUCCCAGUGUAGCGGUGAAAUGCGUAGAGAUUGGGAAGAACACCAGUGGCGAAAGCGCUCUACUGGGCCGUAACUGACGCUCAGGGACGAAAGCUAGGGGAGCGAAAGGGAUUAGAUACCCCUGUAGUCCUAGC
rnacentral:rRNA from 1 species